rnacentral:rRNA from 1 species
GGCUCAGGAUGAACGCUAGCGGGAGGCUUAACACAUGCAAGUCGUACGGUAACAGGUCCUUCGGGAUGCUGACGAGUGGCGGACGGGUGCGUAACGCGUAUGCAACCUGCCUUAUGCAGGGGGAUAGCCCAUGGAAACGUGGAAUAAUACCCCAUAAUAUUAAUAUAUUGCAUGAUAAAUUAAUUAAAGAUUUAUUGGCAUAAGAUGGGCAUGCGUCUGAUUAGCUGGUUGGUGAGGUAACGGCUCACCAAGGCGACGAUCAGUAGGGGUCCUGAGAGGGUACUCCCCCACACUGGUACUGAGACACGGACCAGACUCCUACGGGAGGCAGCAGUGAGGAAUAUUGGUCAAUGGCCUGAAGGCUGAACCAGCCAUCCCGCGUGCAGGAAGACGGCCUUAUGGGUUGUAAACUGCUUUUCUACGCCAAGCAACGGUCUUACGUGUAGGAUCCUGACGGUAGUGUAGGAAUAAGCAUCGGCUAACUCCGUGCCAGCAGCCGCGGUAAUACGGAGGAUGCGAGUGUUAUCCGGAUUCAUUG